GGGGGGGGGCGUGCAGAGUAGGUCCUCAAGAACACACUGUUGACUGUGUGGAAUGGCGGAUACACGGAUGGAUAUGCAAAUGAACCAGCACCGCUCUUUCCAGCCACCUUCUAUUAAUAUGUGAGUGUAAAGCAAACAAACCCCCAAGCGGCUUCAGUUUCGGAACGUUUGAUAGCUUUGACACAGGAAGUCAAAACCAGGCGAAGGCGUUUUGAAGUGGUACUCAACCUGAAAGUUGUUUUCUUCCUGUCGAGGUAAGGACUGCAUGACCCCCCUGAAAGCCGAGAAAAGAAAUUCCUGGUAUUAACAGGCAGCCACAGAAAUCAGUCCUGGUGAAAUGCCCUUGGAAAGUAGCUUGUCCUCUUCCAGCAAUGCUGAGAUCUCCAACAGAAGCAGGAAUAGUUAUUUCUGGUACGGCAUCUAAAUCAAAGUGAUUGACACAGGAUAAAAGUUGUACUGAAGUACAAUCUACAUACUCUCCCCGCAGCUGUGGUUACCUGCAGAGAACCUGGAGAGGAUCAAGCCAGUCAACAUGUCCUGUACAAACCGGGCUGCGACUCACGAGACCCCACCUUGUGAUGGCUGCCGAACGGGACCAUAUAUACAUGUUCUUUAUUUAUGGUGUAUGACCCACAUGUGUCCCAGAGCUCACGUACACAGGGCAGAAGACAAUGUACAAGAACCAGUUCUCUCCUGCCACCAUUUGUGUCCCGGGCUUUGAACUUAGGUCCUCGGCCUUGGCGGCAAGUGUCGUUAUCCACUGAGCCGUCUCACAAGCCCAGCAACUGCCUUCUUCUGUUCUGGAGCACGUAUUUUCUGUCCUUUAAUUGUACCCUUUGAAGAGCAAACGCUUUCAAAUCUGAUGCGGUCAUAUUUAUCGACGGUUUCUUUUAUGGGUUGUUCCUUUCGGGUUAUGUUUAUUUUUUCCUCCUGUUCUUUGCUUUUGCUUCUUAAUAGACUUUCACGUACCUUUUAAAAUGUA